AGAGCCCCCUGGUGGUGGAAGAAAAAUCCACAGGAAAGCUACAAACCGCCUGGUUCAAAACGUGGGGAAAAAAGUAGCGGCUCAUAGUCCAGAAAAUACGGAAGAAGAACGAAGAUUCAUCAUAAAGCCGAAGCUUCCAGCUUCAGAUUUACUGAUUCUGGAUCGAGACGAAUCGUCACCUCUGAGCUUCCAGAGAUUCAACUUCCUGCCUAGUCAAAGGCCUGUGAACCAGCCACAGAUCCAGUGAGGAAGAGGAGGAUGAAGGCUGCCUCUUCAUUUCCUGCGGCGGUGAAACCAUCUGGACGUUCAGACGCUGGAAGCAGCAGCUGAAUACGAAGUGAAGCUGCAGCUCAGGAAACGCUGCCUGAGAUUUUCUG